rnacentral:pre_miRNA from 1 species
AAUAAAUUAAUCUUUUACUUUUUACCUAUAAUGUUUGACUCUUCGUCUUAUUUAAAAAAAUUACGAUUAAUAUUUUUAUUUUUAUUAGAUGAUAAAUUAUAAAUAGUACUUUACGUGUGACUAUUUUUUUUAAUUUCUUAAAAAAAUUAAAUAAAACGAAUGGUUAAACGCUGGACACGGAAAA